rnacentral:rRNA from 1 species
AUUGAACGCUGGCGGCAUGCCUUACACAUGCAAGUCGAACGGUAACGCGGGGCAACCUGGCGACGAGUGGCGAACGGGUGAGUAAAGCAUCGGAACGUGCCCAAUAGUGGGGGAUAGCCCGACGAAAGCCGGAUUAAUACCGCAUACGACCUGAGGGUGAAAGCGGGGGAUCGCAAGACCUCGCGCUGAUGGAGCGGCCGAUGUCAGAUUAGGUAGUUGGUGGGGUAAAGGCCUACCAAGCCGACGAUCUGUAGCUGGUCUGAGAGGACGACCAGCCACACUGGGACUGAGACACGGCCCAGACUCCUACGGGAGGCAGCGGUGGGGAAUUUUGGACAAUGGGGGAAACCCUGAGCCAGCCAUGCCGCGUGCGGGAAGAAGGCCUUCGGGUUGUAAACCGCUUUUGUCGGGGAAGAAAUCCCUCAGGCUAAUACCCUUGGGGGGAUGACGGUACCUGAAGAAUAAGCACCGGCUAACUACGUGCCAGCAGCCGCCGUAA